rnacentral:rRNA from 1 species
AUUGAACGCUAGCGGGAUGCUUUACACAUGCAAGUCGAACGAGUGGCGGACGGGUGAGUAAUAUAUCGGAACGUGCCCAGUAGCGGGGGAUAACUACUGGCAAGAGUGGCUAAUACAGCAUACUAUCGGAGCGGCCGAUAUCGGAUAAGCUAGUUGGUGGGGUAAAGGCUCACAGAGGCAACUAUCCGUAGCUGGUUUGAGAGGACGACGGGCGACACUGGGACUGAGACAGGAGCCAGACUCCUACGGAAGGCAGCAGGAGGGGAUUGUGGAGAAUGGAGAAAAGCCUGAUCCAGCCAUCCCUCGUGUAUGAGAAAGCAUUCGGGUUGUAAAGUACUUUAGGCGGGGAAGCGGUAUCUGCAGAAUAAGCACCGGCUAACUACGUGCCAGCAGCCGCGGUAAUUC